rnacentral:lncRNA from 1 species
CGAAGUUUUGGCCGGCGAUGACGAUGGUGUACUUGGUUUUCAACUCGCCGGCUUCAAUGAAGCGGGUUUCAUAGGACGAGGGAAGGCCGAUGAAGGCGUAAGAGCCGAGCUUUUGGUACUCGUCGGGGUUAGAUGGGACGAGGGUGAGGUACUCAGCGGGGAUGAUUUGGUCCGUAUCAAUGUUGUCGUGGACGACGUAGCAGAGGCCGUGAAAUGAGGUGGAGCUGGCAGUAACAGUGGUGGACCGACGAGUGGAGGCGGCGGUAGUGGCGGUAGUGAAGGGGAUAGUCGUGAGAGAUUUGAAGGGGAAUUUACGAGAGAUUGCGGUGGAGAAUCGGAGACAUGAGUGAGGAGAGAGAGAAGCGUGGGGCUUGUGCGAAGACGUGAGGUUAGGGUUUCCUGAAAGGGCUGCCGAAGCUGUUGAAGCCGCCAUGGAUGUGAGCUU